rnacentral:sRNA from 1 species
GGUAAACAGCUGUGUGAAGAGUGAUGAGCAUGUCCUGGAGGAGCUGGAAACAGAAGGGGAGAGGCAGCUGAAAAGCCUCCUUCAGCAUCAACUUGAUACUUCUGUCUCCAUUGAGGAAUGUAUGUCUAAGAAAGAGAGCUUUGCUCCUGGUACUAUGUACAAGCCCUUUGGGAAGGAAGCAGCUGGGACUAUGACUUUGUCCCAAUUCCAGACACUGCAUGAGAAGGACCAGGAAACUGCUUCUCUCAGGGAAUUAGGGCUUAAUGAAACAGAAAUCUUGAUCUGGAAGAGCCAUGUGUCUGGUGAAAAGAAGACAAAACUGAGGGCAACUCCUGAAGCAAUACAGAACCGUCUUCAAGAUAUUGAAGAAAGGAUCUCGGAGCGUCAGCGCAUUCUUUGCCUGCCACAGAGAUUUGCAAAGAGCAAACAGCUGACCCGGCGAGAAAUGGAAAUAGAAAAGUCUUUAUUUCAGGGAGCUGAUCGUCACUCCUUCCUUAAGGCUCUUUAUUACCAAGGUAUGUGAUCCCCACUGACUUUGAUAUAUUCUUUCACUGAGAGAAAGAUUAAACAGCAGGGCAUUAAAUAUGAAGAGUUAGUGAAGGGAAUAGGGGAAAGACAAAUUGUCACUACUUUUGAGGAAUGUAUAAUACCAUAAGAGAGACAAAUAUGUGCACAGUUAGUUGCAUGACAACAUGGAAACUGCUAUUAUAGAGAUUUGAAUAAAACGCUGAGGUAGUGCAGAACACAGAGCAUCUAAGUCUAGUUGGGGGAGUCAGAAGUUGACAUUUAUACUAACUCCUGAUGGAUCAACGGGCAUUUGUCAGGUAAAUAAAGGGGAAUGGAGAUUAAAGAUAGUAAAUAGCAACAGGAUUAUGAAAGAACCUGGUGUGUCUAAGGAACAAUGAGAAGUUUAAUGUGGCAGGAGUAGAAGAAGUGACAGGGAAUGACAGGAGGUGACACUGGAAGGAAGGGGAGGCGAAGCUAGAUUGUGAAGGGUCUUUAGGCUGAACUACAAAUUAGCACAAAAUAUGUAGAUAAAUAGUAUGUGUCUUAACCAGAAGGAUUUAGUUUGACAGAUAAGUUUUACUAGACGCUGUGGAAGGUGCAUGGAAGUUUAAGAAAUGGUUCCUCACCUUGUGCCAAGUAUAGUCUGGUUGGAGAGAUAAACAUGUAACAUUUAGUGACAAUACUAGAUACAUUUGUUAAGUGUUGUUGGAGUUCAGAGGAGGCAAAGGCCACUGUGUAUUGGUGUGAUUGAAGAAGGCCUCUCAGAGGAGGUAAGAUUUAUAUGUUCUUUUAAUACUACCUAUUCUUUAGAAAAGAGAGGUAAUGACAUUUCAGUUGCAACAGAUGGUGUGAGCACUACGGAGUGUGCGUUAUGGAGGAGAUGUGAGACAAGGUUAGAAAGGUAGCUAAAAAUUUUGAACUGUAUUUGGUGACUAGUAUAGACCUAUACAGAGUUAGUUAUCAGUUAGUUUCAAUAUGGUUGAAGGUUUUUGAACCAGAAGUGACAUGAUAAAAGCCAUAUUUGAAAAUUAUUAAUCUGGUGGUCAAUAAAUAGGAUU